rnacentral:rRNA from 1 species
GACGAACGCUGGCGGCGUGCCUAAUACAUGCAAGUUGAGCGCUGAAGGUUGGUACUUGUACCAACUGGAUGAGCAGCGAACGGGUGAGUAACGCGUGGGGAAUCUGCCUUUGAGCGGGGGACAACAUUUGGAAACGAAUGCUAAUACCGCAUAAAAACUUUAAACACAAGUUUUAAGUUUGAAAGAUGCAAUUGCAUCACUCAAAGAUGAUCCCGCGUUGUAUUAGCUAGUUGGUGAGGUAAAGGCUCACCAAGGCGGUGAUGCAUAGCCGACCUGAGAGGGGGAUCGCCCACAUGGGACGGGGAACAGGCCCAAACCUCCUACGGGAGGCGCCAGAAGGGAACCUCCGGCAUUGGCGGAAAGUCGAGCGAAACAAGCCGGGGUGGGUGAGAAGGGUGUCGGGUUCGUAAAACUGGGUUGGUGGGGAGAAACGUGGUUGGAAUGGGAAGGCGCGUAAGUGACGGUAAACGACCAAGAAGGGACGGCUAACUACGUG